UACGAGGGGGGCGAGCGUUGUUCGGAAUUAUUGGGCGUAAAGGGUGCGUAGGCGGUUUGGUAAGUCUUGUGUGAAAUCUACAGGCUCAACUUGUAGUCUGCACGAGAAACUGCCGGGCUUGAGUGUGGGAGAGGUGAGUGGAAUUCCUGGUGUAGCGGUGAAAUGCGUAGAUAUCAGGAGGAACACCUGUGGCGAAAGCGGCUCACUGGACCAUAACUGACGCUGAUGCACGAAAGCUAGGGGAGCAAACAGG
rnacentral:rRNA from 1 species